rnacentral:rRNA from 1 species
AGUGAACGCUGGCGGUAGGCCUAACACAUGCAAGUCGAACGGCAGCACAGUAAGAGCUUGCUCUUACGGGUGGCGAGUGGCGGACGGGUGAGGAAUACAUCGGAAUCUACUUUUUCGUGGGGGAUAACGUAGGGAAACUUACGCUAAUACCGCAUACGACCUACGGGUGAAAGCAGGGGAUCUUCGGACCUUGCGCGAUUGGAUGAGCCGAUGUCGGAUUAGCUAGUUGGCGGGGUAAAGGCCCACCAAGGCGACGAUCCGUAGCUGGUCUGAGAGGACGAUCAGCCACACUGGAACUGAGACACGGUCCAGACUCCUACGGGAGGCAGCAGUGGGGAAUAUUGGACAAUGGGCGCAAGCCUGAUCCAGCCAUACCGCGUGGGUGAAGAAGGCCUUCGGGUUGUAAAGCCCUUUUGUUGGGAAAGAAAAGCAGCAGGUUAAUACCCCGCUGUUCUGACGGUACCCAAAGAAUAAGCACCGGCUAACUUCGUG